GUCCCAGUGUCCGAGUGGUUAAGGAGCCGCCCUGCUAAGGCGGUGGGUUCUGCCCGCGCAGGUUCGAAUCCUGUCUGUGACG
rfam:Pichia membranifaciens DNA, contig: CON193, strain: KS47-1.